UACGUAGGUGGCGAGCGUUGUCCGGAAUUACUGGGUGUAAAGGGCGUGUAGGCGGGGAUGUAAGUCAGAUGUGAAAUGCCGAAGCUUAACUUCGGAGCUGCAUCUGAAACUGUGUCUCUUGAGUGUCGGAGAGGAAAGCGGAAUUCCCAGUGUAGCGGUGAAAUGCGUAGAUAUUGGGAGGAACACCAGUGGCGAAGGCGGCUUUCUGGACGAUAACUGACGCUGAGGCGCGAAAGCGUGGGGAGCAAACAGGAUUAGAUACCCUGGUAGUCCACGCUGUAAACGAUGGAUACUAGGUGUAGGAGGUAUCGACCCCUUCUGUGCCGGAGUUAACACAAUAAGUAUCCCACCUGGGGAGUACGGCCGCAAGGUUGAA
rnacentral:rRNA from 1 species